AAAUAGAAAUAGAACUGAGUUGCUACAUCCACGGCUUUUUUGGUCCUUCAUUUUACUGAAAUAGAUGUCUUAUCUCCCCUCAGGGGAGAGUGUUGGGACUGAUCCCAUUCAACAUGUUUGUCAGCAACGUGGACAGUGGGGUUGAUGCACCCUCAGCGAGUGUGGCGAUGACACCAAGCUGUGUGGUUCUGUCGAUACGCUGGAAGGAAGAGAUGGGAUCCAGAGGGACCAUGAAACACUUGAGAGGUGGCCAAAUGCCACCCUCACGAAGUUCAACCAAGCCAAGUGCAAGGUCCUGCCCCUGGGUCGGGGCAAUCCCAGGCACAGCUACAGGUUGGGCAGAGAAGAGAUUCAGAGCAGCCCUGCGGAAAAGGACUUGGGGGUGUUGGUCAAUGAGAGACUGAACAUGAGCCGGCUUCAGUGUGCGCUUGAGCCCAGAAACCCCCCGUGUGCUGGGCUGCAUCAAAAGCAGGGACAGCAGCAGGUCAAGGGAGGUGAUCCUGCCCCUCUGCUCUGCUCUCCUGAGACCCCACUUGCAGCACUGUGUGCAGCUCUGGUGUCCUCAGGAUCAGAAGGACACAGAGCUGUUGGAGCAAGUCCAGAGGAGGCCAUGAGGAUGCUCAGGGGCUGGAGCACCUCCUGUAUGGAGACAGGCUGAGAACAUUGGGGCUGUUCAGCCUGGAGAAGAGAAGCUGUGUGGAGACCUCAGAGCAGCUUCCAGUAUCUGAGUGGGGCUACAAGGGUGCUGGAGAGGGACUCUUCAUCAGGGACUGUAGUGACAGGACAAGGGGUGAUGGGUUCAAGCUGAAACAGGGGAAGUUCAGGUUGGAUAUAAGGAAGAAGUUCUUCCCUGUGAGGGUGCUGAGGCGCUGGCACAGGGUGCCCAGAGAAGCUGUGGCUGCCUCAUGCCUGGCAGUGUUCAAGGUCAGGUUGGACACAGGGGCUUGGAGCAACCUGGUCUGGUGUGAGGGGUCCCUGCCCGUGGAAGGGGGUUGGAACUGGAUGAGCUUUAACAUCCCUUCCAACGUAAACCCUUCUUUGUUUCUAUGAUUAAUGAAAAGGAUGCAUCAAAUUAGCUACCUAGAUACGCUCACCUGUACGGGGGAAAAAGGUGUUCGCUUUUUUUGUGUGACUGCAAAAGCAUGGUUUUGUAUCAGAGAGCCCAAAAUCACACAAAAGCUGGGGGCCUAAGCUAACAGGCUCAUGAACUGGUUUUUUGAAGUGAACUAGAGGUUAGGAAUUCACACUGGUUCUUCGGACAGAUCUCUUGACUGUACCUUAUACAAGGUAUCUCACUCAUUUAAAUCAGUCUCAGUCACAGCUUUUACUAAGCCUGGUUGUAUAUCUCUGUAAAUAAUGCUAAAUUACUGAGGCCUGUGAUAGAGAAUCCUUACAAGUGGUAUGGGAAAGUCUUACACAUUUAGAAUAGACUCUGAUAGUUCAAGGUAUAUUUUCCUUUGUGUAUGGUUGAGUACCGAUCUCUUGGAUCUUUCUCAUAAUAGCUUUGAUUACUAGGUGUUGGCAUGUGAGUGACUUAAGAGUUUGAUAUUUCAGCAAGCUCUCUCUUAAUCAACUGCUGCUUUAUAUGCUAUUUGUACUAAAAAGCUAAUCCAGUGACCUAUCAUUGAUCAGAAAAACCCAUGUGUUUAUGAUACCUUAAAAAUAAAGCACUGCACAUGGAGUUUUAACCAGGCUACAUCAAAUACGGCUGAAUCAACACAGGUUUAGCUUUUUAGUGCAGUGAUUUUGCUUGCCAUUUUUCUAGCCUACAUAAGAGAAUAACUUUAAAAUCUCAAAAGAACACAGCCGCAAUGGCUGCAAAACCACAACACCAUCAGAGGUGUGAAAAUGAUGUCUGAACAGGGUUGACCCAGAUGUUUUCAGUGAUAAACAUAUGCUAUAGACAUUUAAGUUAUUGAAACAUACGAGUAAGUAAAAAUAUUCACUGUUCUACAGACUACAGCAUCUCUUUUCUGUUUUAGAAGCAGGCUUUUUCUGCCCUUUAGGAGUUUUACUGAGAUAAAAAGCUUCCAUAAUUAGUAAGACUGGUGGACAAAUAGGAUUGGGGUUCCCCUUAAAGCUCAGAUGCUACAAAGCACUUGAGCAUGUAGAAAAGAUGAAAUGAAAGGGGAAUACUCGUGUUCUUAAGAUCACAGUAUUAAUUUAGGACAAAUUGUCCUUCCUAGCAUUUCCUGUAUUCCCCCUAAAAUAUGUGGGUUUGGACAACUGUGUAGACAGGAAAUUAAAACUGAGGAUUUUGAUUUCCAUCAGAGCAAUUUCUGUUUCUCUGCUCCUCUAGAUAGCCUCAUAAAUAUUAUUUUUCAAAGAAGCAACUGUUUUAAGCAGCCCCAAAGAGGUUUUACAUUGCCAUGUGCUUGUGAAAGCAGGAAGUAAAAUAGGGAAAUCUCUGCUUAGCAAACCACUUGGUUGAAGUUAUUCAGUUUUGUCAUAUUAAGCCCCACUUUUGGACUACAUCCCCGUGGGAACUGGAACAGAAGUAUGCUGCAACUUCUAAUAUACAAGAUCUUCAGCUGCAUGUAAGACCCUGCACAUCUGUUACUUUCUGGACUUUGCAUAUGCCUUUAAAACACACAUCAGUAUAAGCAGAAACUGGUUACUUUCAGCAUCAUUUGGAUGUUUCCAAGUGACAAGCAGCUUCCAGAGGGAAGAUGUGGAACUGAAGAGAUUGGUGGCCCAGUGCCUCAGCAGCUUAUCAAGACUUGCUAUCCCAUCACCGAGAAGGGACCACACUUCAGCAAAUGAGAAUAAACCAGAUUUCAGCUACUGUAGUGAGCUGUGCUCCACAUUCAAGGAGACAACAGAGAACACAGUGUCUGGUAGCUCUGCUGGUACGUUCAGUUAUAGACUUUGCCAAUAGAUUGUAAUAAUGUUUUGUGUUAUACAAGCCAUUAAAGUUGGUUAACUUUCUUGUGUUAGACUUCUUGAUCUCCCCCCGUUAACUGAACAUAAAUUCCCUAUCUAAUGAAGACAAAUUCCUCUUCAUAACAGGUUGCUGAAAGAGUAGGCAGGAUGAAGUCAGGGGUUUACAAGUGGACUAAGAACCAGCAUGAUCAGAUAACACAGGACCACCAAGAUGACUCCAGUGUUCUUAACUGCUUGCCACUAAUAAUCUAAUGCUAAAUAUGCUAGUUUGGUCAUC